GAUGAACGCUGGCGGCGUGCCUAAUACAUGCAAGUCGAGCGAAAAGACGAGGAGCUUGCUCCUCUGACGUUAGCGGCGGACGGGAGAGUAACACGUGGAUAACCUACCUAUAAGACUGGGAUAACUUCGGGAAACCGGAGCUAAUACCGGAUAAUAUAUUGAACCUCAGGGUUCAAUAGUGAAAGACGGUUUUGCUGUCACUUAUAGCUGGAUCCGCGCCGCAUUGGCUAGUUGGUAAGUUAACGGCUUACCAAGGCGACGAUGCGUUGCCGACCGGAGAGCGUGAUCGGCGACUCUGGAACUGAGCCGCGAUCCAGACUCCUACGGGCGGCAGCAGUAGGUAAUCUUGCGCACAGUGCGGAAUCCUGACGGAGCGACGCCGCGUGAGUGAUGAAGGUCUUCGUGUCGUAUAACUCUGUUAUUAGUGAAGAACAAAUUUGUAAGUAACUAUGCACGUCUUGACGGUACCUGCUCAGAAAGCCACGGCUAACUACGUG
rnacentral:rRNA from 1 species